GUCCUGAAUAUGCAUGCAAUACUUUACACUAGUCCUUAAGCAGCCACAAAUUAAUCAAUCUAUCUACCCCAAAAUAUUUGUGUUGGCCAAAUGAUGAAAAACAAAUAGUUUAUUAUUAUUAUUACAUUUUUUGGUCACAUAUAAAAUAUAUAUUUGUUCACAACAUAACAGAACAUGUACAUGAAUGGAUUUGUAUAUAUCACAACCAAUUUGAAAAUGAUAAUAUAUAUAUAAUGAAACUGUGUAGUAAAUUAUAAUGAAAAAAUGUGGACACACAAUAAUGUCAAUCUGCAUCUGGAAAAUGACUGAUAGAGUUUUACCCGAAAACUUAACCUGAAAUGCACUACUGUGGAUUUCUUUUAUUUCAUGUGUUCUUUUUUUAGAUUUUUAGUGGAUUGAGAAAAUAACAUAUCUACUUGGAUAUUAAUUUCAUGGUUUUAAUAAAAUUUGUAUACAAGGCUAUAGAAAAUUUGUACUUCACAUGAAUAAUACUGAAUCCACAGUAUAUGCUUACACAACAUAUAUAAAAAUGUUAAUGAUAGUUGGAAUGUAAUUUAGACAAUUUAAAUGGGAUGAUUAUAAGAUAAAUUGGAUUUAGAUUUCAAUAGACGGCUUAUAUCUAUAAAUAGUCAAUAUUGUAGCAGAUUCUAAAAAAAAAAGGUGUUUUUAAGAGAAAAAAUUAUCAAAAUCUAUUGCCAAUGAUAACCAAGCAACUUUGUAAAAAGAAACAAUUAUUGUUAUCUUUGCUACGGCAAAAUAAACUAUAUUAGUACAAGUUAUUCUACAGUUAAGAUGGUACCUAACACUACAGGGGAUAACUCUGUAAUAUCAGCUAAACGUUUUAAUUACGUUGUAUAGUUCAAACUGCUAUAUAUCCAACCAAAUUUUUCCGAGAAAGUGAUUGGUUCAAGUUUUUUGAAAUUCUUAUAUUUUCUUCAGAGUCAAAAAAAAUAUUUUGUCAAAAUUUUAUGAAACUUAAUUUUGGUCAACGUUUACGAUACCACCUUAAAUUCAUUCCACAAGAUUUAAAACGACGGUGGAAAGUAGGAUUCCUUCAAAAUCAACCCUGUUUUUACCAAUCACCAAUAUGUAUUAGCACUUUAUUAGUUAUUUAUAAGAAAUAGUACAGGAUUAUAGGUGACAAUGCUUUAUGUAAACAAUAUUAACAUUGAUAUUGUCCUAUAGAAAAUUUGUAUAUAUAAAAAAAUUAUGUUACAUAGGUUAAACCUUUCAAAAAUUGAUAGAGACUUACAAAGAUAUAACUAUAUGAUUUAAGGGAGGCUAUCACAUUCAGUUGGAUAUGCAACAGAUUGAUAUAAAAUUGAGAAUGGAAAUGGGGAAUGUGCCAAAGAGACAACAACCCAACCAUAGAAAAAAUAACAGCAAAAGGUCACCAACAGGUCUUUAAUAAAAUAUAAACAUAUAGUAAUUAUGUAUUGUUUGUUAUGUAUAAUUAAUGUUGUAUUAAUGAUAUUAGCAUUCUUUUUGUAACAUGAAAUCUUGUGACUUUUUUUUUCGAAAAAAAAUUGGAUGAUUUUAAAUUGAUUGUAAUUUUUGUUCACUAAUAUUCAUGACAUGGAAGGAUUUUUGUUGGUAAGAUUUUUAUAUGAAAAGAUCAGCAGGUUCAGUCUUUAUCUAUAUCUAUAUCUCUUACCAUCACCUCACUUUUAAACCAAAAGGUUAUCAUUUCAAAGUGCUAAAACCAAGUUUAUACUAUACACAAAAUUUACAGAAGAUCAUCCAAUCAAAUUUAAGAAUUUUCCAAUAUCAAUUUAAAAUAUACAAAAGCAAACAUGUGUCCAUAAAAAGAUAUUUUGAUUCUUGUAAAUAUCAAUAAAUGUUAAAUAUAUCUGUACAAUUAGUUUUUGUUGAUUAAUAUGCCCACCAUGCUCUGUUAUCAUAUGUAAAUCUGCAUAAACUCAGUUUCUUAAAAAAUAAUUUCCGAACAAGUAUAAAAACAAUCAAGAGUAAGGAAAAUACAGAAAAGCUGAGCAAAAUUAUUUUGUGCCUGAUCAUUAUUAAAUGAAAAAUAGAGACAGUGAGAAAAGCUAUGGAAACUUAUACCCUUUACAAUAUAAUUUAUAAGAUAUUUUAUCUGUAAACAAAAUACAGUCGAACCUCGUUGUGUCGAACUCGGUUGUGUCGAAAACUCGGAUGAGUCGAAGUAAUUUCUCGGUCCUGGCAUAAUUCCCGUUUGAUCAAUGCAUUUUAACCUCUGAUGAGUCGAACUCAGAUGAUUCGAAUUCUCGGUUAAGUCGAGGUAAUUCUUAAGUCCCGUCGAUGAAAAAUUGAUGUAAAUUGACUCUAAAGACUCGAAGUUCAAAAUUUAAAAAAAAAAUCGAAAGAAAUAAAAACUUUAAAAAUAAAAUUCAUAACGGAUGAUUUUCUUGUUUAACCUAUUCAUUUCCAUAAGUGAUUAAAGCUGUGUAAAUUCUAUAAGUGAUUAAAGCUGUGUAAACAUACUUGUUUGUAAAACAGUUAAAAUGACAUGUUUAUGAUGACCGCUAAUCAACACCUUUGUUGAUCAUCCAAGUGGAACUUGACUGUGCUGAACCUAUUUCACUUGGUAUAAAAACGAAACGAACUUUAAUGACCCAAGCUGAGAUUAAAUUAACCAUUAGAAUAAGAACAAUAAUUAAAAGGAUUAAAAUUUUUUAUUAUUUACUAUGAGUCGGUCUUUUUAAUCUAUGAACAUUGUUCACAUUCUUUAAAGAUUAGUUAUGAAAAUAUUUUCGCGAGUGAUUCUAUAAUUUAUAGUGACUGACCUUGGUAAAUAUUUUUGUAUUCAUUUUAUUUGUGAAUGUUGUGUGUUGAAUCUUAAAAAUACGGAACAUAAAUACACAAUCAUAUAUUAUCAUAUCGAAAAAAGCAGAAUGAUCAAUAAACAUGCAUCUAGUUUACAGAAAUCACAUAUUGGUAUUUCAUACAUUUCAAAUAUAUGACAUCCCACUCGACCUCGGAUGAGUCGAACCUCGGAUGAGUCGACUACUUUCGUCUGGUCCCUUUGACUUCGACACAACGAGGUUCGACUGUAUUUGGGAACAGAAUGUCUUUAAAAUCAUACAGAUGUAUAGCAAUUUAAAUUACUCUUAAAAAAAGUCCUAAAUGUAUACCAAAACAGAAAUGUUUUAAAAACAAACAAUACAGCAUAAAAAUUGCAUGGUGUAUAGAAAAACAUUC
rnacentral:lncRNA from 1 species